GACUGCUUAUGGAUUUGUUGGGGAGAAAUGCACUAACUAUAUGUUAACUAAUUAAAUAUUUGAGGAGGAUAAAUUGACUACAUGUUAACUACUUCUCUAUCUGAAGGGUAUAAAUGAACUAACUACAUGUUAACUACUUACAUAUCCGUGGGGCUACUAUAUCUUAACUAUUUAAAUAUUUUGGUGGAUCAAUGCACUAACAACGUAUUAUGUCGUUAUCAAUUUUGGGGGGAUCUAUGCACUAACUACGUGUAACUACUCAUAGAAUUCUUGGGGAACUACAUAUUAACUACCAACACAGUUGUUGGGGCACUGCCUAAUUCCUACUUCUCUACUUGUCGGGGCAAACAUGCUAGCUACAUCUUAGCUACAUCUAAAUGAACUACUGUUAAUAUAGGGACUGUCUGUCAGGCCAUGGGUCGAAGCUAUGUCAGGGCCUGGAUGAAGGUUGUCAGGGCCUGGGUGAAGGUUGUCAGGGCCUGGGUGAAGGUUGUGAGGCCCUAGGUGAAGGUUGUCAGGGCCUGGGUGAAGGUUGUGAGGCCCUAGGUGAAGGUUGUCAGGGCCUGGGUGAAGGUUGUCAGGGCCUGGGUGAAGGUUGUCCUGGCCUCGGUGAAGGUUUUCAGGGUGCUUCUUCUCCAGGCUGCAGCUUGUGUGCUGCAAGGGUUCCAGCAGCUGCUGCUGGAAGUCCCUCCUGGUCCACCCUGAGAGGCCCUCCUGUCCAGACCAUGCUCUUCUUCCUCUUCCUGGUUUGCAUCGCCCUUGUCACCUUCUUCUUCAUUUCCUUGGCGAAUGCCCAGAUUUCCUUCACCUCUUUGUAUCUCUUCCUGAUGGUGAGCAUGGUCUGGAUGGAUGCCCUCCUCCUCCUCCUCGCCUCUUCAAGGGCUCUCCUGGCCGCUGCUCUCUGGUUCAUGGCUGCUAUUCUGCGGCUGAACCAGAGCGCCAAGAGCAGG